UACGUAGGGUGCGAGCGUUGUCCGGAAUUAUUGGGCGUAAAGGGCUCGUAGGCGGUUUGUCACGUCGGGAGUGAAAACUCGGGGCUUAACCCCGAGCCUGCUUCCGAUACGGGCAGACUAGAGGUAUGCAGGGGAGAACGGAAUUCCUGGUGUAGCGGUGAAAUGCGCAGAUAUCAGGAGGAACACCGGUGGCGAAGGCGGUUCUCUGGGCAUUACCUGACGCUGAGGAGCGAAAGCGUGGGGAUCAAACAGG
rnacentral:rRNA from 1 species